rnacentral:rRNA from 1 species
UAAUGCAAUUAUUACAACAAUAAUGCACCAUAUCCCAUUAGAACUUCAUAGUUAAGCACACUUUGGCCAGUGUAGUAUUGGGAUGUGUGACCUCUCGAGAAGUCCUAGUGUUUUACAUGCC